GUAAAAUCUCUCUAAAGAUUGACUCUAGACUCUAAAUUGUCUAUGGACAAGUUUCCUUCUUGUGCUACUCUCUGAGAAACUUAUGAAUAAAUGCAGGAGUGUUACUCCGUUGUCUUGCUAUAGUAUAGGAAGACACACACAUACAGACCCACACACAUAUUUUUACUUCUCCUUUUUCUUACACACACAACAUUGACAUUACCUAUAUGCUGAGUAUUCCAGUCUUUAGUGUUUACUGUUGCACCGCAAGACCUGAAAAUUUCGUAUAGCACAUCUAGUCAAAUCGAGCUACAUUUACUCCGUUACAUUUACUUGAGUAAGUUUUUGAAAAAAAUGUACUUUUUAAGUACCUUUUUUGCACGAUACUUUUUACUUUUACUUGAGUACAUUUAUGAAGAAGAAACGGUACUUUUACUCCGCUACAUUUGCAAAAUUCGACUCGUUACUUUAAAAAAAAAAAUUAGUUUAACACAUUAGAUAACAUGCCGUCAGUGGAGUUUCCGAUAACUUUUUUACCAAUGAGACGUGGCCAUACAGUCACAUGACCAGUUUGAAACCGUGGCGGAGAGAGCGGCCCAAGCGUUUCAAAGUAGCGACACACGGAAAGAAGAAAUAUGACGGCAGAGUCUACGCUAGAGCUGAAGAGCAUGAACACCUUUGGCCUGACAUACAAAGAAUGUUUCGCUUAAAAGCAGCACAAAAGAACAGCUAUGUCUGCAGUGUCGGUGUCUUCAGUGAGAGCCAAAACAAACCAACUUUUCAGCGUGAAACAACUUGGCUCGUAACCUGAGGAAACGGUCUCCACUUCAUCAGACAUCACAUAGACA